rnacentral:rRNA from 1 species
AACGAACGCUGGCGGCAUGCCUAACACAUGCAAGUCGAACGAGACCUUCGGGUCUAGUGGCGCACGGGUGCGUAACGCGUGGGAACCUGCCCUUAGGUUCGGAAUAACUCCCCGAAAGGGGUGCUAAUACCGGAUAAUGUCUUCGGACCAAAGAUUUAUCGCCUUUGGAUGGGCCCGCGUUGGAUUAGCUAGUUGGUAGGGUAAAAGCCUACCAAGGCGACGAUCCAUAGCUGGUCUGAGAGGAUGAUCAGCCACACUGGGACUGAGACACGGCCCAGACUCCGACGGGAGGCAGCAGUGGGGAUUAUUGGACAAGGGGCGAAAGCUUGAUCCAGCAUUGCCCCGGGAGUGAUGAAGGCCUUAGGGUUGUAAAGCUCUCUUACCCGGGAUGAUAAGCAAAGGACCGGUAGAAGAAGCACCGGCUACCUCCGU